UACGAAGGGGGCUAGCGUUGCUCGGAAUCACUGGGCGUAAAGCGCACGUAGGCGGAUUGUUAAGUCAGGGGUGAAAUCCUGGAGCUCAACUCCAGAACUGCCUUUGAUACUGACGGUCUUGAGUCCGGGAGAGGUGGAGUGGAACUCCGAGUGUAGAGGUAGUAAAUUCGUAGAUAUUCGGAAGAACACCAGUGGCGAAGGGCGGCUCACUGGCCCGGUACUGACGCUGAGGUGCGAAAGCGUGGGGAGCAAACAGG
rnacentral:rRNA from 1 species